AGAGAGAGAAAAAUGGAGAAAACUAAACCUGGUCACAGAGAGAGAAAAAUGGAGAAAACUAAACCUGGUCACAGAGAGUGAGAGGGGAAAAAACUGACGGCUUUCACAGUGACAGAGAAGAGGGGGUUGGGGUAAAGAGUGCGGAGGCACCAGGCAAUGUGUUCCGGGUGACGGGGAGGGGCUUGGUAGCCUGCGGCUGUAGGAACUGAGUUGAGAGAUGGAGUGACUGUCAAACAGAGAGACAGCGAAAACAAAUCCUGACAGAGAAUGAGAAUCGAUCUGCUGAGUAAUGGCUUCAGCCGUUGAACGAAUGGAUGAACUUGUUCGUGAGUACCUGCUCUACCGAGAAUUCACCAGUACACUUAGAACUUUUGACGUCGAGAUCAAGGCAGACAAGGAUAAGGGAUUUCGAGUUGAUAAAAUUGUAGAACAACUGCAACAUUUGGUUCAAGGUUAUGACCUCAGUGGACUGCGUGAAUACUGGGGGUACCUGGAUCAUCGCCUGUUCAGCAGACUGGAGGAUGCAUAUCGACACACAGUCAACAAGCUGAAAACCAGCUUGUACCGUUACUAUCUGGUCCAUACCAUCCAGUCUAAUAGGAUUGAUAAAACCCAGGAGUUCUUCCAGAAACAGGCCCUGGAACUGCAGAACCAGCCAGAAUGGAAAGAAUGGUUUGUUCUUCCUUUCGUUCCGAAUCCAGAUCAGAACCUAGUGUUCGCCACCUAUUUCUCCAAGCAAUGGGCAGAGACUUUCUUGGUGUCACUGCACAACUUUUUAAGCGUACUCUUUCAGUGUAUGCCUGUUCCUAUGUUGCUGAACUUUGAUGCAGAGGUCCAGAGAUGCUACCAACUACAGGAAGAAAAUGAAGUCUUAAGGCAGAAGUUGUUUGCUCUGCAAGCAGAGCCAAGAAUGAAGAAAGAAGAAGAGAUGAUUCACCACAAAUUGCCUCCAUACAUUCAGAACAUGGACCGACUGGGAGAUUCAGAAUUAGAAUUGAUGUCCAGUCAGAGGGCCUCAUCAGUGAUGUCAUCUCAGCCCAAAGCUGGCUCAUUUCUGUCAUUGCUACUCUCACAAAGCAAGAAACCCUCAGGAAAAGGCCAGGUGCACCCAGGGCCUUUGCAGUCCUGUCAGAGUCCUGUGUCAUCUGGAAAGAGAGAUGGUGCCAACAAUCAGACCACCAAGAGUAAAGAGAGUUUGGCCUCCAAAGAGGGAAAAGUACUGGUGAACACAGCUGCUGACACCAACACACUGCAGCAGCGACAGAGGAAGAUACAGGACCAUGAGAGAGACCCAAACUUGGUGCAGCAGCGACAGAAGAAGGUGCUGGACCAUGAAAAAGAACGAAAGGAUCUGUUAUCCAAACAUAAUACACAGGGUAUGGAGAAAAACUCUGAGCCUGGCUGCACUGAGAUGGAUAUUCCCAGCAGCCCUGACAUGGCUGUGGAUCAACAGGACUCUCCUACAAAACUGAGCAAGUGUAGCUUGGAGCGCAGGAGUGAACAGCCUUUCAUAGUGCUGAGUCAGGAAGAAUAUGCAGAACAUCACUCCUCCAUCAUGUAUUGUGGGGUGGAUUGCUCUGGCAGAAGAGUUGCCAGUCUGGAUAUUGAUGGAGUGGUUAAAGUGUGGACAUUUAACCCCACCAUGCAGACUAAGGCCACUAUAAUGUCCAAAUCACAGCUGCUUUCCUUGGAAUGGGCUACCAAACCAGACAGAUUGCUGUUGCUUGGCAGUGGGGUCGGAACAGUUCGACUUUAUGAUACUGAAGCUAAGAAGAGUCUGUAUGAGCUGACAAUUGAUGAAUCUUAUCCUAGAAUUUUGUCUCUAUCUUGUAGUCCAAGUGGGACAUCAUUUGUUUGCUCCUCAGCUGCUCCAAGCAUCAAACUGGGGACAGUGGUGGAAGCAGGAGAUAAAGGAGUUAACCUGGUUCCAGGUGAUCUCCUCCUAUGGGACACGAAAACAAUGAAGCAGCAGCACCAGUUUUCUCUGGACCCUGAGCCUAUUGCCAUUAACUGUACAGCUUUCAACCAUAAUGGAAAUCUGCUGGUGACCGGAGCUGCUGAUGGCAUCAUCCGGCUCUUUGACAUGCAGCGGUAUGACUGUGCCAUGAGCUGGCAUGCACAUUCUGGGGAAGUUUAUUCAGUGGAGUUCAGCUAUGAUGAAAAUUCAGUUUACAGCAUUGGUGAAGAUGGAAAGUUUAUUCAAUGGAACAUCCAUAAGAGCGGAGUCAAGGUUUCCGAAUGCAGGAUGCAGUCAGAUGCUAUCGGCCCAUUUGUACUGUCUGGGUACAGCGGGUACAAGCAAGUUCAGGUGCCCCGUGGAAGACUAUUUGCAUUUGAUUCAGAAGGACACUAUGUACUCACUUGUUCCUCUAGUGGUGGAGUUAUUCACAAGCUGACAAAUGCAGAGCAAAUCUUGGAACCUUGCCUAUCACUUGGAGGUCAUCGAGCACCUGUGGUCACUGUUGAUUGGUGCACUGCAAUGGAUUGUGGGACAUGCCUGACAGCAUCCAUGGAUGGGAGGAUUAAGCUGACAACUCUACUAGCCCAAAAAGCAUGAAUGAGAAACCAUCAGGACUGAAGCUACACUUUGGCUGACUGAGAGACAUUGCCCCAUUAGCAAGGAACCUUAGUUCGAGUCACGGCAGUGAAUGUUUCUUUCUGGAGGGUGGUACACUGUUGCCUCACAGCACCAGGGACCUGCGUUUGAUUCCAGCUUUGGGUGACUGUGUCUAUGUGAAAUUUGCACGUUUUCCUGUGUCUACAUGGGUUUCUUCUGGGUGCUCCAGUUUCCUCCCACAGUCCAAAGAUGUGCAGGCUAGGUGUGUAUUGGCCAUGCCCUGAAGUGUCCAGGGAUACGCAGACCUCUCUGGGUUUUCCGAGUUGAGUGAAUCAUUCGGUGAUUCCAACUCAACAAUUUGGCACUGUGAGCAGGGUACGGGAAGCAGGAUCACCGACAAGUGAGGACUCAGCUUACAGAAUUGAAGAUACUGAAGACUUUCACUGAUGGCUACAAACUUCUGAACCUGUCUACAAGCUUUCAAUGUCACAAUGGAUGAGGCACCCUCAACCCAUCAAGCCAUUCGUUAACAAUGUAUCUGAACAUUGGUGAACUACUGUGAAAAUAUUAAAUGUAUUGAGUGUCAGGAAUUUCUAAACCACUAAGCUUGGUUGUACUUAAGCAAAUUGUGAUAAAAAAAAUUAUAUUAAGACCCACAUGGCCUGACAUUCUAAAACAUUUAAAGGGACUAGUUACCUGAAAUUUAAAAUGACCUUGGAAAAUGAUAAAGUGCAUGCACACCAUCUCAGUGAUUUCGAGACAUAAUAAAAAAUGUUAGUGACUUUGAGGGAGUAAACAGAAUAUUGAAUUUGGACAAAUUUACAUAUAGAAAUAUCAAAUAUCUAAAACGAGGUAUCAAGUAACUUUCAAACAAAAAGGUGGUCAUCUUAGACAAUCAUUUGGUCAUUCCACCCCAACAGCAGCCUACUCAUUUUCAGCCACAGAACACAUCAUCCAUGAUCUUACUGAAUGGCAGAACAGGCUCAAGUGCCUACAUUUGCUCAUAUUCUGUAUUGUCAAAUCUUUGGAAAUACUCUGUAAAACACUAUAAAUACAUUCCCAGAUUUAUCACUGAUCUCACUUAUGCUGUAAAUACCAUCCUUGAUGAAUUACUAACCUAACUCAUAAAUUCCCACUCUGAUAUAUUUACCGAUAACUGAUGACACCACUGUAGUGGGUCAGAUCUCAAACAACAACGAGACAAAGUACAGGAAAGAGAUAGAGAGCUUAGUGGCACACAAAACAAUACUUUUCAAUGUAACUCGGUCCAUGUGACAAUAAUGAAUUAAAUCAAAUACCACAGAUCUCACAUAUACUGUAAUUACUAUCCCUAAUAUAUCACAG